GACGAACGCUGGCGGCGUGCUUAACACAUGCAAGUCGAACGGAAAGGCCCUGCUUUUGUGGGGUGCUCGAGUGGCGAACGGGUGAGUAACCCGUGAGUAACCUUCCCUUGAAUUUGGGAUAACUUCAGGUAACUGGGGCUAAUAUCGGAUAGGAGCUCCUGCUGCAUGUUGGGGGUUGGAAAGUUUCGGCGGUUGGGGAUGGACUUGCGGCGUAUCCGCUUUGUGGUGCGGUAGUGGCGUACCAAGGCUUUGGCGGGUAUCCGGCCUGAGCGGUUGACCGGCCACAAUGGGACGGAGGUUCAGCCAAGACUCUUACGAGGGACAGUGGAGGGGAAUAUUGCAUUAUGGGCUGACGCCUGAGGCAGCAACAGCGCGGGCGGGAAGACGGCCCUCGCGUUGUAAACCGCGUUCGUCUGUCAUGGAGCGUGAGUGACGGUAAGGGGUAAAGAAACUCCGGCUAACUACGUG
rnacentral:rRNA from 1 species